rnacentral:rRNA from 1 species
UACGUAGGGCGCAAGCGUUGUCCGGAAUUAUUGGGCGUAAAGAGCUCGUAGGCGGCUUGUCACGUCGGAUGUGAAAGCCCGGGGCUUAACCCCGGGUCUGCAUUCGAUACGGGCUAGCUAGAGUGUGGUAGGGGAGAUCGGAAUUCCUGGUGUAGCGGUGAAAUGCGCAGAUAUCAGGAGGAACACCGAUGGCGAAGGCAGGUCUCUGGGCAUUAACUGACGCUGAGGAGCGAAAGCAUGGGGAGCGAACAGG